rnacentral:sRNA from 1 species
AGUUCCGGGCUACAGCAGCCGACGCCGAGAGGCACCGUUUCUUCUUAAAAGAGAAACGCUGCGCGCGCGAGGUGGGCCCCGGUCUUCCAGCAGCUCCGGGCUUGCUCGCUAGGCCCGGGAGGCGCAGGCGCAGGCGCAGUGGGGGUGAGGGCGCGUGGGGGCGCACAGCCUCUGGUGCACAUGGCUUCCUCCCCGGCGGUGGACGUGACCUGCAGGCGGCGGGAGAAGCGGCGGCAGCUGGACGCGCGCCGCAGCAAGUGCCGCAUCCGCCUGGGCGGCCACAUGGAGCAGUGGUGCCUCCUCAAGGAGCGGCUGGGCUUCUCCCUGCACUCGCAGCUCGCCAAGUUCCUGUUGGACCGGCUGUGUCCUCUGUGCAGGUAGGUAGGGGAUGGCAGGGGGUGAGAGCCAGAGGGAAGAGGGACCACAGGGUGACCCAGAAACACCCUCCUUUCAAAGGGAGCCCUGAGUAAGUUUGGGAAGGGUGGGGUGAGUUGGGGAGCACAGGGUAGUUUGAUGGCAGCAACCUCUGGGUGGGGAAGGGAGCAAUGUCUCA